rnacentral:rRNA from 1 species
UACGUAGGGCGCAAGCGUUGUCCGGAAUUAUUGGGCGUAAAGAGCUCGUAGGCGGCUUGUUGCGUCGACUGUGAAAACCCGCGGCUCAACCGUGUGGCUUGCAGUCGAUACGGGCAGGCUAGAGUUCGGUAGGGGAGACUGGAAUUCCUGGUGUAGCGGUGAAAUGCGCAGAUAUCAGGAGGAACACCGGUGGCGAAGGCGGGUCUCUGGGCCGAUACUGACGCUGAGGAGCGAAAGCGUGGGGAGCGAACAGG